GGGCCAGCCGGGCUUCUGUUUCCGCGACCCCGGCGGUGCAGGGCGGGUGGAGUCGCGGAGUAGUCCUCAUGGCCGCCGCGCCGGAGCCCGGUGAGCCCGAGGAGAGGAAGUCCCUUAAGCUCCUAGGAUUUUUAGAUGUUGAAAAUACUCCCUGCGCCCGGCAUUCAAUAUUGUAUGGUUCAUUAGGAUCUGCUGUGGCUGGCUUUGGACAUUUUUUGUUCACUAGUAGAAUUAGAAGAUCAUGUGAUGUUGGAGUAGGAGGGUUUAUCUUGGUGACUUUGGGAUGCUGGUUUCAUUGUAGGUAUAAUUAUGCAAAGCAAAGAAUCCAGGAAAGAAUUGCCAGAGAAGAAAUUAAAAAGAAGAUAUUAUAUGAAGGUACCCACCUCGAUCCUGAAAGAAAACACAACGGCAGCAGCAGCAAUUGAAUAAUCUUGAGCAUAGAAAAGAAGUCAAUGUAAACGAAGUUAAGAUCAACCACAUAAAACAUUUCAUGUGCAUAUUUUCAACCCACAGUUGGUUGAAUCCAAGGAUGCAGAACUGGAGGACAUGGAGGGCUGACGUGUAACAUACAUAACAUGUAAAACAGGUCCCUUCCAGCGCUAGCACACUGCAAUUACAUCUUACCCUGAAUAAGAGAGAAACUCUGUCUUGGCUGGUAAAAUUUCCAAUGUCUUCACCAAUAACAAAGCUCAUUUUCACAGAAGUUUGCAUAAACUGGAAACCUGGAUAAAAACAAAGUUGUAACAUA